rnacentral:rRNA from 1 species
AUUGAACGCUGGCGGCAGGCUUAACACAUGCAAGUCGAGCGGGGGAAGGUAGCUUGCUACCGGACCUAGCGGCGGACGGGUGAGUAAUGCUUAGGAAUCUGCCUAUUAGUGGGGGACAACAUCUCGAAAGGGAUGCUAAUACCGCAUACGUCCUACGGGAGAAAGCAGGGGAUCUCCGGACCUUGCGCUAAUAGAUGAGCCUAAGUCGGAUUAGCUAGUUGGUGGGGUAAAGGCCUACCAAGGCGACGAUCUGUAGCGGGUCUGAGAGGAUGAUCCGCCACACUGGGACUGAGACACGGCCCAGACUCCUACGGGAGGAAGCAGUGGGGAAUAUUGGACAAUGGGGGGAACCCUGAUCCAGCCAUGCCGCGUGUGUGAAGAAGGCCUUAUGGUUGUAAAGCACUUUAAGCGAGGAGGAGGCUACUUUAGUUAAUACCUAGAGAUAGUGGACGUUACUCGCAGAAUAAGCACCGGCUAACUCUGUGCCAGCCGCCGCCGUAACAC